rnacentral:misc_RNA from 1 species
CAACCACCAAGCCCUGCUUGUGUUGGGGCCCUGCGGCUGCCCGCAGGCCCUGAAAACCAGUGGCGGGCUCGCUAGUCACACCGAGCGCAGUAAGCACAUUCUCGCUCAGGGCGUGCGGCGGGUUCUUGCCGUGAAACCCCCCCUGUAACUCACAA